rnacentral:rRNA from 1 species
AGAUUGAACGCUAGCGGGAUGCUUUACACAUGCAAGUCGAACGGCAGCGCGGACUUCGGUCUGGCGGCGAGUGGCGAACGGGUGAGUAAUAUAUCGGAACGUGCCCAGUAGCGGGGGAUAACUACGCGAAAGCGUGGCUAAUACCGCAUACGCCCUACGGGGGAAAGGGGGGGAUUCUUCGGAACCUCUCACUAUUGGAGCGGCCGAUAUCAGAUUAGCUAGUUGGUGAGGUAAAGGCUCACCAAGGCGACGAUCUGUAGCUGGUUUGAGAGGACGACCAGCCACACUGGGACUGAGACACGGCCCAGACUCCUACGGGAGCAGCAGUGGGGAAUUUGGACAAGUGGGGAAACCUGAUCCAGCCAUCCCGCGUGUGCGAUGAAGGCCUUCGGGUUGU